rnacentral:rRNA from 1 species
GACGAACGCUGGCGGCGUGCUUAACACAUGCAAGUCGAACGGAAAGGCCCUGCUUUUGUGGGGUGCUCGAGUGGCGAACGGGUGAGCAACACGUGAGUAACCUGCCCUUGACUUUGGGAUAACUUCAGGAAACUGGGGCUAAUACCGGAUAGGAGCUCCUGCUGCAUGGUGGGGGUUGGAAAGUUUCGGCGGUUGGGGAUGGACUCGCGGCUUAUCAGCUUGUUGGUGGGGUAGUGGCUUACCAAGGCUUUGACGCGUAGCCGGCCUGAGAGGGUGACCGGCCACGUUGGGCCUGGGAUACGGCCCAGACUCCUACGGGAGGCAGCAGUGGGGAAUAUUGCACAAUGGGCGGAAGCCUGAUGCAGCAACGCCGCGUGCGGGAUGACGGCCUUCGGGUUGUAAACCGCAUUCGCCUGUGACGAAGCGUGAGUGACGGUAAUGGGUAAAGAAGCACCGGCUAACUACGUG